CCUACGGGGUGCAGCAGUGAGGAAUAUUGGUCAAUGGACGAGAGUCUGAACCAGCCAAGUAGCGUGAAGGAUGACUGCCCUAUGGGUUGUAAACUUCUUUUAUAUGGGAAUAAAAUGUUCCACGUGUGGGAUUUUGUAUGUACCAUAUGAAUAAGGAUCGGCUAACUCCGUGCCAGCAGCCGCGGUAAUACGGAGGAUCCGAGCGUUAUCCGGAUUUAUUGGGUUUAAAGGGAGCGUAGGUGGAUUGUUAAGUCAGUUGUGAAAGUUUGCGGCUCAACCGUAAAAUUGCAGUUGAAACUGGCAGUCUUGAGUACAGUAGAGGUGGGCGGAAUUCGUGGUGUAGCGGUGAAAUGCUUAGAUAUCACGAAGAACUCCGAUUGCGAAGGCAGUUCACUGGACUGCAACUGACACUGAGGCUCGAAAGUGUGGGUAUCAAACAGGAUUAGAUACCCUUUGUAGUC
rnacentral:rRNA from 1 species